rnacentral:rRNA from 2 species
UACAUUUGAGUGAGUGGCGACUGGUGAGUAACACGUGGGAAACCUGCCCAGAAGCGGGGGAUAACACCUGGAAACAGAUGCUAAUACCGCAUAACAACUUGGACCGCAUGGUCCGAGUUUGAAAGAUGCUUCGGCUAUCACUUUGGAUGGUCCCGCGGCGUAUUAGCUAGAUGGUGGGUAACGGCUCACCAUGGCAAUGAUACGUAGCCGACCUGAGAGGGUAAUCGGCCACAUUGGACUGAGACACGGCCCAAACUCCUACGGGAGCAGCAGUAGGGAAUCUUCCACAAUGGACGAAAGUCUGAUGGAGCAACGCCGCGUGAGUGAAGAAGGGUUUCGGCUCGUAAAACUCUGUUGUUAAAGAAGAACAUAUCUGAGAGUAACUGUUCAGGUAUUGACGGUAUUAACCAGAAAGCCACGGCUAACUACGUGCCAGCAGCCGCGGUAAUACGUAGGUGGCAAGCGUUGUCCGGAUUUAUUGGGCGUAAAGCGAGCGCAGGCGGUUUUUUAAGUCUGAUGUGAAAGCCUUCGGCUCAACCGAAGAAGUGCAUCGGAAACUGGGAACUUGAGUGCAGAAGAGGACAGUGGAACUCCAUGUGUACGGUGAAAUGCGUAGAUAUAUGGAAGAACACCAGUGGCGAAGGCGGCUGUCUGUCUGUAACUGACGCUGAGGCUCGAAAGUAUGGGUAGCAAACAGGAUUAGAUACCCUGGUAGUCCAUACCGUAAACGAUGAAUGCUAAGUGUUGGAGGGUUUCCGCCUUCAGUGCUGCGCUAACGCAUUAAGCAUUCCGCCUGGGGAGUACGGCCGCAAGGCUGAAACUCAAAGGAAUUGACGGGGGCCCGCACAAGCGGUGGAGCAUGUGGUUUAAUUCGAAGCUACGCGAAGAACCUUACCAGGUCGACAUACUAUGCAAAUCUAAGAGAUUAGACGUUCCCUUCGGGGACAUGGAUACAGGUGGUGCAUGGUUGUCGUCAGCUCGUGUCGUGAGAUGUUGGGUUAAGUCCCGCAACGAGCGCAACUUAUUAUCAGUUGCCAGCAUUAAGUUGGGCACUCUGGUGAGACUGCCGGUGACAAACCGGAGGAAGGUGGGGAUGACGUCAAAUCAUCAUGCCCCUUAUGACCUGGGCUACACACGCUU